GUCCCGCCUCCCUCAGUCUUUAAAUCAGGGUGCAGUCCCUCACAGAGACUAUUCCACGACUCAAGCGCAUCGACGCAUCUCAUCCUGCACACUGCUGCUUCACAGAACUCGAUCCUUGCGGGACAGAAAAAAAAACUGAGGAAACAUCAUGCCCUUCACACGUGUCCUGAAAUCUGAGGGGAAAAUCGUGACCAUCAGAUUUUUCAAAGAUGGAUUGCGGAUGUGUGCCAUUGAUUGUUCAGCUGAAAAUGUUGCAGAUUAUAAGGCGGAGAUCUCUGAACGUACAAUUGGCAGGGAGCGGGCAAUGGCUUUACGUUUCCUACGAGGGACGACCUACUAUAGAAUUAAGGUGGCUGAAAAAACCCUAUUGGUUGAGCAGGCUGCUGGCUUUCAAGACCCGAUACCUGAUGACUACUGGUUUGUGAGGAAAAAUGAUGGGGGCGGUAAGAACUACAGCCUGCGCCCUUUGGUGGAUCAAAAUUGUUGUCUCUCGGUCGUCCGAAGAAGACCGUACAAUUUCAUUCUGAGCGACCGUCUUCAGGAGUCGGCACAGGUCACAGACGAAAAAAUAUGAGGCAUCCAUCACGAACGCAACUUCUUUUUCUACAACAGAAGUUAAGAACGCCAUUCUCCCUCUGCACCCCAUGCUUCCAGAUGUGCACCAGCUUGGAAAAUAUAGCAUCCUGUUUUUACUGCUUCGGUACCUUAUUCAAGAUGUACUCUUGCUAUUGAAGAACAGUUUUGGGACUUAGGGAAAAUACAGAUUUAAAGAAUGGUUAGCUAACGCAGCAGGGUUCUAGAUCUGCUGACGUUUAAUCCACUCCAGAAACAGUGAAGCUGUACUCUUCUCUAAACCUCUCCUGCUGAUAAGCUAUGUUAAAUCUAUCUUUCAAACUUUAACACGAAGUUAAAAAUCCUUCAGACUCCUCUUGAGUCUUACAAGAUAUUUAAGAGUUGUUUUCAAAAGCUAUGUAAUUCAACACAUGACUAAAAAAUUAAUCUACUUUUAUCAGCACAGUGAAGGGGUGGUUAUGCAAAUUAGCAUUGCCUUUUCUAUUGAGAGUUUAUUGCUGUUGAAAUGGGGGUUUGACCAAUCAGAAUUAAGCAUAACAAGACAGUAGUCUGUGAGAAAUGGGGUGAUAAGAGUUAAAAGUGUCCUCUUUAAUGUGAAGAUAUCAAAUGUUGGUGGGUUGGGCGUUUUCUUCUGUUUUGAACCACUUACUGUAUAUAAAAACGGCCAACGCAUCCUUACCUCCUCAACAUGCACAAAAGUGAAGCCAGAAUAUCCCUUGUAUUGGGUGAUGGCAUCUUGUGCUUGUGAUGUCAUUUAAACUCUGAACAAGCUGAAUCAAAUCUAUUUUAUACAUUUAAAGUUCUAUAAAUCAUUCACUCAGUAGUAGUGAAUGUUAUUUAUCAGCAGCAUUUAUGCAGUUUUUAACAAGUCCAUAUACUUAGCUCCAAAUCACAACAAAGGUUAUUUCAAGACGCCUUUACAAACGGAGAAAAGGUCUACACUGCACUCUGUUGUAUUAUUAACAAAGACCAAAACAUCAAGACAGAUAAGAUCCAGUCCCGUCUUACAGACAGGACUCGGUCUGAUUUCAUCUUAAUCCACCAUGAGCAGAGAACCUGCUUGAUGUAUCCACAUUCAAGAGAUUGAAAAAAGUGGUAUUGUGCUUUUUCAUAUUUUACAAACGAAUAUUUAGUUCAAAUGUUGGGUGUGAGAGUUUCAAAUUGUGAGGCAAACACAUGGUGAAUGUGAAUACCAGGAUGAGAGUGCAGGCUGCUCUGAACAGCUUGGUCCAGAGAGCGAUACAAGAUGUGCUCAGAUUGCCACAUACUAUUCCCAAAGUCAUAAUCUGUCAUUUUCGGAUUGAGAUACAUGACUUUUUGCAGCUUGGCAACAGUGGAGGAGGCUUCUUGAAUGCUGGGGUUUUUGGAGUGUUAAAGAGAGAGUUGCUAAAAGGAAGCACUCAGAGCCUCCAGAGGGACGACAGACGGCCUGAAAAUGAGCUUAAUACCCCUCUUUAAAGUUUUCCCUAUCACACUUUCUUUGAGGAUGAAUGCAUGUCAAUGGUUGCUGAAAGUGUUUGUGUUGCUUGUGCUGGAAGAAGGAAAGCUUUAAAUGCAUGUAUAUAUGUAUUUUUGUCAUAAUUACUCACCAAAAUUUGUGCAUAUUUUAAAAUAAACAGAUUAAACACA